UCAUCACAAUACACACAGGCAGCCCAAAUCAUAUCUUCUUCUUUCUUCCCUCCUUCCUCGACGACUGCGUCUGUUGUCUCUGCAAUAUUUCUCUGCUCCUCUGUUCCGACGGUUCCGAAAAUCCAGCUAGGGCGGCUUCAUUUUGCUCUUCCAAAAUUCGGUAGUUCCGGCGGAUCCAGCUAGGAUGGCCGCCCUUGCUUGCCACUAGCUAGAUCCGCCCUUGAUCGUAGCCCACCGACACCCAACGUCGAAGUAGCAUUUGAAUACGGCAGUCGAAUCGUAGAUGCUGGGCAAAGUUUGUAGCACAUGAGAGAAGACCAUUAAAGUGGCCAAGUAGGAAAAGGCCAAUUAGCUACUUUUGAUCGAUAUUUUUUGUUUCAUCGACAUUUCUUGAGUAGAAUGAGAGGAAAGUACGUCAGAAUUUGUCGUGGCUAUAAAAGUAACACUCACUACUUUGGACAAUGCCAAACAAAAUGUGGAUGCCUUUCAUGUAAAAGCGGAUUUCGGAAAUGUUUUGAGGUAGAGCGGGAUAUUAGAAACAAAGGGCGCUUAUUCUUCACAUGUAGUAACGACUAUGGAUAUUUUGAUUGGGUGAAAAUUGAAGAUUUAAACGGGGAGUCGAGUAUCGUUAACGAAGAGGUGAAGCAUGAGCCCAACGAGGAAUAUGAAGACUUGCCAAGAAUCUUCGAUAGCCUAGCUUGAAUUACCGAGAAACGAGAUGUCUACAUAACAUUGUACAUUACAUUUUGCAAAGGAAAACGAAUUGUAGAAAGUGAUGGGAAGGGGAAGGGACUGACGUGAACGGGUGAUGUCAAUUUGUAGUUGUUAUAUGCUUUAUUUGUACCGUAAGAACUUCGUCAUAGUAAUCUUCGAUGUCCAAAGCUUAAUUUUGUCAACAUCGUUCGAGCUUUGGACAUAAAUUUAAUAUUUUGCAAAUUGUUGUAAUGCUUAGUAGGCAUCUUCAAGUUUAAUAUUUUGUGAAUUGUUGUAAUGCUUAGUUGGCUUGUUUUAAUA